AUUUAUAAAUUUGAAUGUAUUCAUUUAAUGUUUAUUAAGAAGAUUUUUGGUUUGGAGAGGAGAGUUCCAGGAUAUGCUAUAAGGCAUGAUUUACAGAGGACUGAAUUAUUCCCUUGUUUAUUAAGGACGGUAUUAAAAUUUAUAUAAGGAUUAGAGAAGAUACUGGAAUUGUGGCUAGGAUAUUGAGAAGUUCGGAGGAUCUUUAUUGUAAUUCACCUCAAAUUACAGGUAAUUGGAUUUGAAAAGUUUUUUUAUUGUUGGCAAAAUAUAGGGUCUUGCAUAGGAUUUUUCUCCCUAUGUUUUACAGUAUGAAUAUGGUAUGAAACUGGUUAUGGUAGCAACUAUACAUGAUUCUUAUAGGAGAGAGACUGAGUCAUUUAAUAAAUUAAGUAGACAAGGUUGGUAUGUUUGGUUGAUAUCUUUUCCGUCAAAUAAAGAUUACGUUUUCAAAUAUUCCUUUCUGUUUGAAGAAGUUUAUAAUUCAAUUGAGAUUGAAUUCCUGAUUUAUUUCAAUCAAAGGAAGAUGGUUCAAACUGGAUC
rnacentral:lncRNA from 1 species